UAUAAAAAUAUUAAAAUAUUACUACAAAAAACAAUUGAAACUUGCAUUGAGUACUCGUAUACACUUGUCUGUUUCUUCAAGUGAGUAAAAUAUGGCUUAUAUUAUUACCUCUACAACAUUUGUUUCCAUAAUGCAAUAAGUUGAUCACCCCUUCUCUUUUAUAAAAAUAAUAAUCUUGUACCGUCGCUCAAGAAAUAGAGAAAAAAAAGAAGAGGCAAAGAAAAAUGUUUAAAAAGUUGCAAAGUCAAUUUAAUGCGAAAAUGCGUUAUAAGUCUUUUUCAGAGAGAAAAAAAAAACAUUAAAAAUUUCACUUCAUUAAUUUUUCGUGCUCAUCCGCGCCUUUCUCAUGGGUAUAAUGUUUUUUCCACGUCUUGAAAUCGAUGGUCUCUAUUCGCAAUUUAGCACAUUGCGUGCGAAAAGUGUGAAAACGCGUAAGGGCGCAAUUUGCGACACUUUUCUUCCCUCGCCGAGGAAGAAUUUAUGUGAGAUAGUAGCGGGAAAGCAAUUAUGGUGUUUUCCAUUACCCCGUGCCUUUUCUACGAGACUUUUUUCAGUCGUCGUCGAACCUCCGAAGUAAAUGGAGUGCCCUCUGAAUCGGUAUUACAGCUUGAAUCGUCUCCUGCUUUCCAUAAUCGGGCUAUGGCCUUAUCAGAGUGCGAUAAAUGCUUGGAUCCUUCGAGUAUUAACAAUGGCGAUUUUGAUUUGGUUUUUAAUCGCUCAGACAGCUAAGAUUUACAUGACGGAAUUAACUACAGAUUUUGUACUCGAUGUUCUGCCCAUUAUCAUUCCUCAUGUUGGUAUAAUGGUAAAAUUUUUAAACCGCAUAGUGAACAUGAAUGAAAUGAAAGAUUUACUCGACCGAAUUAAAGUGGAUUGGGAACGCACAAGCUCUCAAGAUGAGAUUAAAAUUAUGCAAACAUACGCCGCGGCUACAAGAAAAAUGUCGAUAUCGUUUUCGUGCACCGCGCAGAGCAGUUAUUCGAUGUACCUUCACCCAAGGCUCGAUCUGUUCGUGAAACUGGAGAAGAUCAUAGAAACGUUCUUCUUUUUAUCGAAGAUCAUCGCAAAGUCAUACAGUUAGUAAUCUUUUGACAGUGUCGUAUUAUACAUACUUGCCUAUUCGUACGUGUUUUGAAUGAAUGUGGUAUGUGUAUUUCUACGAAACCGGAUAACGCGAUAGCAUGAUAAUGACAAAAACAAAAGAACAAUCGUUUCUCUUCUAGGUGUGCCGAAUAAAUAUGGCACUGCAAGUGCCAUAUUUAUUAAGUUUUUUUAUCAAAAUUAACACGUGAUCGUGCAUUAUUAACUCGCGGAUGUUAUUUUUUUUCUUGCAAUCUAAGGUUCGUGGACGUUAUACAAUCGUGCUACAGUCUACUCAUCGUCGCUGAAUUUUUAGUUUUAAUAAUUCUAAUAGGCAUCACGCUGGUACAAGUGAGUGUUCGCACAUUUAAUUAAUGUAUUUAUAUAUUAUGCCCGUGCCAAGCGAUUAACACGCAACAUAAGAUUUGCGAAUCAAGGAAGUUAGAAUCAGCGUAGCUACACAUUUUGCUCUUUAGAUAACUAAGUUCUCCGGAACGGAUCGGCCGGUUAGAUCCAUAGCUUACGUCAUUGGACAAUUAAUUUAUCUGUUUAUGAGUAGCUACAUGGGUCAGCAUCUAAUUGAUACAAGCGCACAGAUGUCCAUGAAGGUAUAUUUCGCAAAGUGGCACAAUAUGUCUAUAUGGAAGCAAAAGAUAAUGUUGUUCAUUAUGAUGAGAUGUAUGCGAACGGUUUCCCUUAAUUUGUAUAGCGUCUGUCCCGUGAAUUUAGAAAAUUUUUCAGCGGUAAGCGAUAUUGGCGAUAUCAGAAUUCUAUCAAGUCCCCCCUUAUCUAAUAUUAGCGUGAAUUUUGUUUUAAGAUUGUGCAGCAAGCUAUAUCGAUCUGUAUGUUGCUGAGACAUAUGUCAUAAACAAUUUGGAUAAUAGUGCUCGUGUAUGUAAUCAAUGUAUACCAAAUUAUCGCAAUACAUUCUUUGCGUGAUGA
rnacentral:misc_RNA from 1 species